rnacentral:rRNA from 1 species
UACGUAGGUGGCAAGCGUUGUCCGGAUUUAUUGGGUUUAAAGGGUGCGUAGGCGGUUUUGUAAGUCAGUGGUGAAAUACUCCAGCUCAACUGGAGAGGUGCCAUUGAUACUGCAGAACUUGAGUACAGACGAGGUAGGCGGAAUUGACGGUGUAGCGGUGAAAUGCUUAGAUAUCGUCAAGAACACCGAUAGCGAAGGCAGCUUACUAGACUGUAACUGACGCUGAUGCACGAAAGUGUGGGGAUCAAACAGG